UGAAAUGCAAAGAUACAGAAAUGGGGGACGAUGCCUGACUGACAGCAGUUAUGUGUGAAAAAGACCUUGGAGUCUUGGAGGACAAUGUGCCUACAAUGUGAUGCAGCGGCGAAAAAAGCCAAUGGGAUUUUGGCUUGCAUAAAUAGGGGUAUAGCAUCUAGAUCUAGGGAAGCCAUGCUACCCCUCUAUUCUGCCUUGGUCAGGCCACACCUGAAAUACUGUGCCCAAUUCUGGGCACCACAGUUGAAGGGAGAUGUUGACAAGCUGGUAAGCAUCCAGAGGAGGGUGACUAAAAUGAUCAAGGGUCUGGAGAACAAGCCCUAUGAGGAGAGGCUUAAAGAAUUGGGUAUGUUUAGCCUGCAGAAGAGAAGGCUGAGAGGAGACAUGAUAGCCAUGUACAAAUAUGUGAGGGGAAGUCAUAAGGAGGAGGGAGCAAGCUUGUUUGCUGCUGCCUUGCAGACUAGGAUGCGGAACAAUGGCUUCAAACUACAGGAAAGGAGAUUCCACCUGAAUACCAGGAAGAAUUUCCUCACUGUGAGAGCUGUUCGGCAGUGGAGGCUCCUUCUUUGGAGGCUUUUAAGCAGAGGCUGGAUGGCCAUCUGUCGGGGGUGCUUUGAAUGCGAUGGCCCAUGUGGUCUCUUCCAACUCUACUAUUCUAUGAUUCUAUGAUUCUAUGAUCUCAGAACAAUCAGUAGUUGUCAAAAGGUUGAUUUUUUUUUCACAUCACUAGUGUUUGUAAUGUGGUGAAACACUUAAUGUGCUACCCUCUGUUGGAAUUGGUGACUUUUAUUAAUCUAUUGAAAUGUAAAUUAACAUAUAACUUAUUCAUCAAACAACUGAUCACAACAGUUCUCAACAAAGGAAUUAAAAAUAGGAUAUAGAACAAUUUUUACGUUUACACCUAGUGAUGUUCAUUAACCAAAGAAACUGAUGCUGUUUACGCAACAUAUUCCAUCUCCCCACUUCAGCCCCCUGAACACCUCAAAAUCUCAAAAGUCUGUCCACAGCUGAUUGCAAUGAUAUUAAAAAGAAAUAAAGGAAUAGAAAAUCAUUUAACAAAUGUAGAUUUUUAUACAUUUAGAGCACAGGCUGAUAAUCACCUUUGGGCUUCCAGGUGUUUUAGAAUUCAACUCCCAGAAAUCCCAGCCAGCUUACCAGCUUUUAGGAAGUGUGGAAGAUGAAGUCCAAAGUGCCUGGAGGCCCAAAGGAUGGGAACCACAGGUCUCGAGAUAACAUGUUCUGGAGAAUGAAAACUCAAACAAGGUGAGCCACAGAGCCACAUGGAAUUAGUCCCAGAAUGUUAUCCAAAGAUUGAAAGAGUUGUAGUAGCAAGAUCUUAGUUAUUCCAAAAUCAAGAACAGAAAGCAAGCUACCACAAUGAACAAAGCUAAAGAAGUAAGAAAAGUCAAGUAUAGCACUUAAAGCAAGGGUAGCAAAAAUCAAGAGCAUGGGAAAGCAUAUAUCAGUUUAUGGAAUUCCUACAACAAGAACUACCUUAACUGAUACAAAUGUAAGCUAUUUGACCUUGAAAGAUCAAGUGGCUGUUAAUACAAUGCUUCUUAUUUAAGGAGCCAGCAUGCUAUAGUGUUUAGGGUACUGCAGUAAGAUUUCAGGAGAACAAGGUUUAAAUCUCCACUCAGGAAUGAAAGCCCACUGGGUGAGCUUGGGCAAAUCGUACUCUCUCCACUUCUGAAGAAAACAGUAGCAAGCCUCCCCUCAAUAAAUCUUACCAAGAAAAUCCUAUGUUAUUUGUAUCCCAAGACAUAUAGCAAAUAUGUUCAUAGCAAAUACCCAAUCAUUUAUAAGUCAGAAUCAAUUUGCAGGCAGAUAGCAACAAAAGAAGAAAUGUUAUUGGUGUUGCAUACUGCUGCCUUUCUUACUAUAAUGUCGAAGUAAAUAUGGUCCAGCGCCCCUCUCUUUUUAGCCAGAAAGACUUGCAACCUCAUCAGAUGGGAGGAAUUGGACACUUUCUCCCCAUCUAAUGGAUUGUGAUGCCUCAUGGGCCCUGUAGUCCUGUUCCUAGUACUAUUGUGGCAGAUGAAGAUGAAAACAUGGGGUUUUCGCCGGUUCAACAAGAGCCGGAGUCUCUUCACCUGCCGGAUAUUGAUGUUUGCCCUCAAGAAUUCAGUAAAACAGGCCUUGGGCAGAACUCCCCUCCGUUUCCCAGGAAAGAAUUUUAUUCUAAAGACAGAGGAGUCAGGGAAGCCCAGCGGAGGAGUUUGCGGAUUGCAGCCAAACAACAGACUGAUUAGGCCUGCUUCCCUUGGGAAAAUCUAAGGAGUCUUGCAUCUGGACAGAGUUGGGUUUCGUUUCUUGUUCUCUAGGGAAAGAGAUUUGUUGGCGGGAAAUGAGACCCAAUAUAGGUGGUUGACACGGGAGAUUCUUUGCGGAGUCAAUUGAUCAGCUUCAGGAGAGAGAUCGUGUGUGGACUUCGUAACCCCAGUUCCUUGCUUCCCGGAUCAAGCUUCAAGCCCUUGCCUAGCCUUGCUGUUUAACCACGGACCCUGCUCCACGCUUCAUGUUUAGCCUUGUCUCCAGUCACGGACCUAGCCAAGUACCAGGUUUAUUUCCAGCCUUGUUGUCAAGCUUCAUUGGACUCUAAGACUCUGUCAUUUCCCCACACUAUUGCUUGGCAAUAGUGUGUGUUUCGGUCAAGUGGAUUAAAACUUUGAACUCUAAUAUCAUUUAUUGGACAAUACAUUUUUGGACUAUAUUUGACCUCAUUUGAAAGGUCUGCUUCUGAACUAUAUUCUUCACUUGUUUUUAUUGCUUUUAUAUAUUUCCUUAAUAAAGAUAUUAGAUAGAGACUGGCCUCCGUGUAAGGUUAUUGGUGCCCAGCAGCCAGGGUUCUGACAUGGAUGGAGCUCCACACCAGCCAUCACAUGAUGUCAUGUGACUUCUGACUGAGGCCCC
rnacentral:lncRNA from 1 species